rnacentral:rRNA from 1 species
AACGUACGCUGGCGGCACGCCUAACACAUGCAAGUCGAACGAAGUAGCAAUACUUAGUGGCAGACGGGUGAGUAACAUGUAGGUAUCUGCCCUUUGGCCUGGAAUAACACGAGGAAACUUGUGCUAAUACCGGAUAAGUCUUUACGGAGAAAGCUUUAUGCACCAUUGGAUGAGCCUGCACUUGAUUAGUUUGUUGGUGGGGUAAUGGCCUACCAAGACUGUGAUCAAUAGCUGAUUUGAGAGGAUGAUCAGCCACAUUGGGACUGAGACACGGCCCAAACUCCUACGGGAGGCAGCAGUGGGGAAUCUUGCACAAUGGAGGAAACUCUGAUGCAGCGAUGCCGCGUGAGUGAAGAAGGCCCUUGGGUUGUAAAGCUCUUUCGUCGGGGAAGAAAAUGACUGUACCCGAAUAAGAAGGUCCGGCUAACUUCGUGCCAGCAGCCGCGGUAAUACGAAGGGACCUAGCGUAGUUCGGAAUUACUGGGCUUAAAGAGUUCGUAGGUGGUUGAAAAAGUUAGUGGUGAAAUCCCAGAGCUUAACUCUGGAACUGCCAUUAAAACUUUUCAGCUAGAGUAUGAUAGAGGAAAGCAGAAUUUCUAGUGUAGAGGUGAAAUUCGUAGAUAUUAGAAAGAAUACCAAUUGCGAAGGCAGCUUUCUGGAUCAUUACUGACACUGAGGAACGAAAGCAUGGGUAGCGAAGAGGAUUAGAUACCCUCGUAGUCCAUGCCGUAAACGAUGUGUGUUAGACGUUGGAAAUUUAUUUUCAGUGUCGCAGGGAAACCGAUAAACACACCGCCUGGGGAGUACGACCGCAAGGUUAAAACUCAAAUGAAUUGACGGGGACCCGCACAAGUAGUGGAGCAUGUGGUUUAAUUCGAAGAUACGCGCAGAACCUUACCAACACUUGACAUGUUCGUCGCGACUCUAAGAGAUUAGAGUUUUCGGUUCGGCCGGACGAAACACAGGUGCUGCAUGGCUGUCGUCAGCUCGUGUCGUGAGAUGUUGGGUUAAGUCCCGCAACGAGCGCAACCCUCACUUUUAGUUGCCAUCAUUAAGUUGGGCACUCUGAAAGAACUGCCAGUGAUAAGCUGGAGGAAGGUGGGGAUGACGUCAAGUCCUCAUGGCCCUUACGUGUUGGGCUACACACGUGCUACAAUGGUAUCUACAACAGGAAGCAAAACUGCGAGGUUAAGCAAAUCCCUAAAAGAUACCUCAGUUCGGAUUGCACUCUGCAACUCGAGUGCAUGAAGCUGGAAUUACUAGUAAUCGUGGAUCAGCGUGCCACGGUGAAUGCGUUCCCGGGUCU